CGGGGUGAGUAACGCGUGGGUAACCUGCCUCAUACAGGGGGAUAACAGUUAGAAAUGACUGCUAAUACCGCAUAAGCGCACAGUGCUGCAUGGCACAGUGUGAAAAACUCCGGUGGUAUGAGAUGGACCCGCGUCUGAUUAGGUAGUUGGUGGGGUAACGGCCUACCAAGCCGACGAUCAGUAGCCGACCUGAGAGGGUGCCGGCCACAUUGGGACUGAGACACGGCCCAA
rnacentral:rRNA from 1 species